UCUUGGGCUGCCUCACUGUGUGUGAUGAAACAUAGUAGAGUCCAAGUGCAGUGGGGAAAUUCAGACCUGGCUUUAGUUAAUCAAGUCCUUACCAGUGGUGUGAGAAACUCAGUCCAUAAAAGGCUUUGACAGCCAUCCCAUUUGAUUUGCUUCCUUUCGUUAAACUUGAAGAGUAAUUGUACAAGGUAAGGUAAAAAUUGCCUACGUGUGAAACGGCCUCGAGUUAUGGUACCAGAUACAACUGUGAUGCUGGCACUAUACCAUCUCCUAAUUCCUAGUGUUAACCAAAAUUAACUUAUGAAGAGGAAAACCGUAUGUCAAAGCCAUGCUGUAAAUGUGCCUUCCAUUAUCAACAGAGGGGGCUUCUAAUGGGAUGUCUCAAUUGUCUGUUAUUAACCUUCUUCUAUUUUAAGAAAAUGUAUGUAUAUACACCCUAUGUAAGUAAGAUAUAUCAGUAAGAUAAGUAAGUCUUUAUCAGCUACUAUUCCCCUCCCAGUUUGUUUUUUUACAAAUCCUUAAUAUUUAUACUUAUUUGAUAUCUGAAACGUUAAUGUUAUUUUUCAGUUACAUCCCCUUUUAGUGCUGCAUCAUUUACCUUUCAUGUUCCCUUUGAAAAGAUCUUUUCUUUCCUUAAGCUUUUUUUUUUCUUUAAAUGACUCUUCUUUCCUUCCAUUUUUAUCAGACACUGAUGUUUUAGAUGCCACCUUUUCUGUAAUUAGUUUCAACCUUAAUUUCCUUACAUUUUUAGGAAUUCAUCUUUGUCACAGUUCACCUACAUUCUAUUUGUUCUUCCCUCCAAAUAGAAACUUAUUUCUAACAUAUCCUGUUACACAAUUUGAUCCUGUUUAUCAUAAUUCUGCUUAUCAUAUCCUGCUUAUCAUAAUAAUGUCUCUGCUUAGUAUUCCAGUUUCUUGAUCUUUUAUCUUCUACUCAAUUUCUCUACAGCAUCUCAUUUGUUGUGGCUGAAUAUUUCUUUAGUGGUUGAUGCACUGUAUGGUUCUAAGGACCUUACAUGUAGGUUCUUCACUUAUACCCAGGGACUUCCUGGGAUGCAUUGGAACAAUCUUCUGAACUGAGACUAGAUAGCAACAGCACACCAAAUGAAGAGCAUCUUUACAUGAUCGGGAGUUGAUCUUGAGGUCAGUGAUAGCCUGUGUCAAGUGACAGAAGGUAAAAAAUAUCAUAUUAUGUGUGAGAAAGGCUCCUAAAUGUUUUAUAGCAGCAAUUUUGUCAUUGGAAGGUGUUCAUUGCCUAAAAUCUAUAACUGUUACCUCCCUACUGUUUACAAGCCGCUGCUGCUUCUGGUGGCUCAUCCUUCUAAAUUUCAAAACCAGGAGGAGGAGCCAGAGGGCAACCUUCCAAGGAGGAGUAAGCAAGAUAAUUAGGCAAUUAAUCUCUGGCAUUGGAGUGGGAUCUGCUUGUGAACAGAGGAAUUUAAGGUUGAGAUUCUAGCCUUGAAUGGGACAGGACGGUGCCACACACACCCACACACACUGUGUGCGUAUGAGCCCACUGGAAGCAUAGGACUGACUGUCAAAUAGGGGAGUUUUGACACUGUGAGCCUGUUUUCCUUAUCUGGUAGAGAGACUUGUAAUUUUUUUAAGCUAUUUGUUUAGAUCUGCUGCCCUGGGCUGUUCAGGUGUACUUAAAGAGUGUAGACCAUUGAUGAGAUACGUUCAGCUGAAAAAGCCUUAACAACUUUGAGAUGUCACAUUUGGGGCUUCAUAGUGCAUAUGGCUAAAAAGAGCACAGGGCAUAACACAGCAAGUAACUUCUACUUAUUUUGCACAGAAGCAAGAAAAUAUAUAUUCCUUUCUAGAAAGACAAAAAUCAUUAUGGUUUCUUCAGAAGAAAUGAGCUGAGGCAUGAAAAUGUUAUGUCCUUGACCUGCCUGUUAAUAGAGUCCCUAUGUACUUUAUACAUGCAUUUAUUAAAAAGUAAUAUCUUGUAUCUAUAUACACGAGGUAACAGUAAUAAGUUGGCCAUAGGUAGCAAAUGACAGGGUGCAUGCAAAGCCAAUGAAAAUGUGUUUCUAAUAAAGUAUCUAAAAAAGACAAGCAGUGAAGUACAGUGUACCUGACUGAAAUUCCUAGCAACUCAUAAAAUUUACAAAGUAAAAGAUGAUGACAAGUAGUGUAUUUUUUUUUUUUUUGCUAUAAAUAUAUAAAAAUCACAUAAUGCAAAAAAACAGUUUAAUAUGAUAAAUGGAAGAAACAACCACUUGCAAACCAAGCCUGGAACAAACCCCUGGCAGCGAAAGCAGAAGUAGCUGACAAAGGUGCCUUUAUGAUAUGUCAGAUUUAUGUCUCAAGAUGGCCAAUCCGUUCUUGUUUUCAUGUGCUGUUGGUGGGAUUUGUGUUUGAUAUUCAAAAGAUCAGAUUUGCUUCCUGCAAAUUGAAAGCAUAUGCUACUUCUGGAUCCCUUUUUCCUAAGGGAUUUUUGCAGCCGGUAUGUACCCAGUGUUCCUGUCAUCUUGACAGGCUAAACUGCAACAAGUUUUACCUCUUCAGAUAUGUAUGAAGAAGUGCAUAAUAUACAUGCAUAAAUAGCACUUCCUGAAAUGUUUCUUCAUUUCAUAGUUACAUGCAUUUCUUGGUUGCCUGUAGUACCUCUAUAACCACAGCUACUUUCCAGCUUCCAGUCCUCCGAAUUACUCUCAGCACAGGAGUAUUUACAAAGUAAAUCCUUUUUUUUAGAGGGGAAAUAAGUACCUGUAUACUUGGAGCUCAGUCUAAAGGAAAGUUCUAUCAGUAUUACACUGUUUUCCUCACCUUUAAACACAGGUCUGUCUAUACAGAUUGUUAGUAGCUAACCAAAGACUACUACACAUCUAGCUUAGCUUCUGAGAACUUAAAUAUAACUUUGGAACAAAAAAGUAAUGCUGACUAGGUGAAUAUGACCUCUUGGUCAAUCUUUUUUAAAAGCUGCUUACAGAUUGAGGCCACUACGACAGCCAGUGUCACUAUUUAUCAGGGAGUGCUAUUGUAUCACGUUGGGAAGGAGCUGAAGUGUGCUAUUCAGGGUGCUGCUGAGCAUAACAACCUCACAGCCAGUGUUCUGGGUAGCUGUGGUUCUUUAUUUUGGCCUCAAGCUAGCAAGCACGUUCAGUGGGAUUCAAGGGCAUCUGGCAUGGAAGAGACCUGCACUUCUAUGGUUACACCCAAACUUUAUUUCUUUCUUUUUUCAUGCUUCCAGGUUCUCCUUCACACUCUCUGUCCAGACCACCAAACCCAGGUAUUCCAUGAGAGGAGUGAGAAUACACAAAUGCUGUAGAACCGAGACAAAUAAAACUACUUCAUGUAUAGAUGGGAAGACUAUAAUCUAGAAACAUUAAGCUGUGACAGCCUGCCAGAACUUCUCCUGCAAAUGAUGGAGUUUCUCUAAAGACGCUUCGUAAAAGCAGCAGCAGCAAACAGAGUGACCCUACAGGUGCAAACUGCAGCAGCUCUCCCUCCAGUCUUCCCAAUAAGGUUUGUUGAAACUCUCUGUAUCUCAACGUCUUUAUUGGUAAUGGAUACCGCCCUUAAUUUGCACUGAUGCAUUUGGAAUGUCAGCUUCCAAAACAAGGCACAUGGGAGGCAUUUAAAGUAGAUUUUUUGAAAGGAAAAUGAACAAAGAGCAUGUCAGGUUCCAUUUUGAUUUGCAUGACAAAUCCUUCAUGCAGUGUUCUGGUGGGUCGGGCUGGGCUUGCCUGCCACUCACUGCGUUUGUCACUUUGGUUUGAACACUUCUGACAGUCCGUUAUGUUAAUUGUUCUAAGGAUUGUUUUGCUGGGGAGGAAGAAAAGGAAAGGCAUUUGUAUUUUUGUGCUUGUUCCAUUUACAGGAAAGGAGGGAUUUCUGAAGGAACACACAAUGUUUUCAGUCUGUUUGUGAUCUAUUUGAUUUGUAAAUAAUCCUAUGAAGUCAUCAGCAA